rnacentral:lncRNA from 1 species
CUGCCACGGCGCCUUGGUGACCCUCUGCCUGGCAGUCCCGUGCCAUGCUGGCACCUCUCCCAGCUGUGCCUUGCCCGUGCUGCCUGCCCCACCGCGCUGCUGCAGAGCUGAGCCGCCUGUUCCCCCGCAGCCUGCUCAUUCCUGGAGCUGCAGGGAAGGCUUUGGCAGAGGAAUGGGAAAACUCCCUGCUGGUGACUCCAAACCCCACCCAAAGCAAACAGCCCAACUGCCAGCCACAGCGGGGCUCCCGGUGCCUGGCAAUGCAUCCUGCUGUGGGCUCCCUUGGAUAGGGGGAAGAGGUGGCAAGUGCUGGCUGCCAUGGAGGGGCUUGGGGCCAGAUCUGGCUAUGGGGUGCAGGAAGGGCCCUACAUAGCAUUGCCAAAAGCAGUGCCAGGCUUUGCUGAGCACCAGGGCAAUGGGGAUCCCUGUUUCCACAUCCCCCCAAACAGGGCUUCAUGGGGCUGCUGGGGCACAGUCUAACUGCAGAAACCCAUCCCUGGGGAAAGCAUCACAGUGCUGAUGCCUGUGCAGGUACGACAGGACCAAACUGACCCUGAAGGACAUUCACAACUGCCAGUAUGUGGCCUGCAUGAACCCAACUGCAGGGUCCUUCACCAUCGACUCCAGGCUGCAGGUACACAGGAUACACAGGGAUGGGGGCUUGUCCCAGCGGGUUCACUGUCCUGGCACUGGAACAAGGUGGAGUGAGAUGGGAUGGGGUGGGAUGGGGAACAUCACGGUGCAGGGUGCCUGCAUCAACCUGUGCAGGGCAAAACUCCUGCCUGAAUUUUUGCCCCUGGGCACAGCGACACUUCUGCAUCUUCACCGUGAGCUUUCCGGGCCAGGAGGCCCUGCAGAGCGUGUACAGCACCAUCCUCACGCAGCACCUCGCCCUGCAGAAGAUGCCUGCGGCUGUGCAGAAGCUGCAGUCACAGCUGGUCACAGCAGCACUGGCCCUCCACCAGAAGGUCGCCUCCAUCUUCUUGCCAACAGCCAUCAAGUUCCACUACCUCUUCAACAUGCGGGACCUCUCCAACAUAUUCCAGGUAGUGUGAGGGCUGUUUCCUCUAAAACAUUUGUGUUCCUUUUUCACCCUUAUUCCUUCUUUUCCUGCAUCGUGCGUCCUUGCAGUGCGCCAUGUCCCUGUAAAGUACCAAGUUCCCAAAGCCAACCUUUAAAACUCAGCUCCAAGUAGCCGUAAGACAACCCCCAAAGGCUGAGGACUCGUGUGUUUGUCAGGGUUUGUUGUUCUCCACCCCUGAAUGCCUGAAGAGCCCCGUGGAGCUGGUGCGCCUCUGGCUGCACGAAGCUGAGCGGGUGUACAGAGACAAGCUCGUCGAUGAAAAGGACCGAGCGACCUUCAGGAAGGUGCUGGGGGACACCUGCGGGAAGUACUUUGGGGUGAGUUGUGCUGGAAAAUGAGGGAGGGCCGCAGCCCAGCUGGGAUGAGCCCCACAGCUGAGCCGAUGGCCGAGCCCCACAACUGCCAUUGCCUUUCCAGCACCUCGGUGAGGACGCGUUGUUCGCCAAGCCCAACAUCUUCUGCCACUUCGCCCAGGGCAGGGGGGAUCCCAAGUACAUGCCGGUGCCGAGCUGGCCG